rnacentral:tRNA from 2 species
GCUCCGUUAGUCUAGCCCGGCCAAGGACCCCGGCCUUUCGAGCCGGUGACCCGGGUUCGAAUCCCGGACGGAGCA